CGGCUGCCCGGUGUCCCCCCCCCCCCCGGCCUCUGCAGGACCCUCUGCCCGCUCGCUCCCUCUCUUCCACCCAGACAGCGACAGCAGGAGCCCCCCCCCGCCCUCCGCGCAGCUCCUCCCCAGGUCUUUCCUCUCGCCCCAAAGCUCGGACGCCGUGCUCUGGGCUGGCUCCUCCCGACGGUGGGCAGGGACCAGCUGGCACCGGGAGGCGAGGGGAGGAGGAAGGCAGGCUGGAUUCAGGGAUCCCCGCGGGGCCGUCCCAGCCGCUGAAGCCCCCAGCUCGCGGGGGGGGGGGGGCGCGAGGAGGGGGGAGCAGCGCUGUCAGGAGCAGGACGUGCGGAGCGACCCGGUGUGAAGGCCCUGCCACGAGCCGCAGGGAGCUGGUGGGUCCCCUCCACGGCGGGCUAUGUCCAGCCCCGUCCCCCAGGCAGGGGUCCUGGCCCACCUGUCCAUUGAGGGGCUGUGUGGGCAGGGAGGGCGGGCACCCCGCAAGAAGGGCCAACGUCGUACCUGCCUGUGGGACCACCGGCGCUGGGGGCCUGGGACGCAGCACCCUCGCAUCCUGGCAAGGCCCGUGGGCUCCCAGGACAGUGCUCCUCUGGCCUUCCCUGGGGGCCCCCAACCGCCACUGCCAAUUAGAGGGCUGCCCGGGCAGAAUGUCACAAUGGACGAGGGGGGCACGCCCCUGCUCCCGGACAGCCUCAUCUACCAGAUCUUCCUGAGCUUGGGCCCAGCGGACGUGCUGGCUGCCGGUCUGGUGUGUCGCCGGUGGCAGGCCGUGUCCCGGGACGAGUUCCUGUGGAGGGAGCAGUUCUACCGCUACUACCAGGUGGCCCGAGACGUGCCCCGGCACCCAGCGGCCACGUCCUGGUAUGAAGAGUUUCGGCGGCUCUAUGACACGGUGCCUUGUGUGGAGGUGCAGACGCUCAAGGAGCACACCGAUCAGGUGCUGCAUCUCAGCUUCUCCCACUCGGGUUACCAGUUUGCUUCCUGCUCCAAGGAUUGCACUGUGAAGAUCUGGAGCAACGACCUGACUAUCUCGCUGCUGCACAGCGCGGACAUGCGGCCCUAUAACUGGAGCUACACCCAGUUCUCCCAGUUCAACCAGGACGACUCACUGCUGCUGGCAUCUGGGGUGUUCCUAGGGCCCCACAACUCCUCGUCGGGUGAGAUCGCAGUCAUCAGCCUAGAUAACUUCGCCCUGCUGUCCCGAGUGCGCAACAAGCCCUAUGACGUGUUUGGCUGCUGGCUCACGGAGACCAGCCUGAUCUCGGGGAACCUGCACCGCAUCGGAGACAUUACGUCCUGCUCAGUGCUCUGGCUCAACAAUGCGUUCCAGGUGCGGGCGCGCGUGCCCCCUGCGGCCGCUCCCUCCUUGGCCUGGUGCCCACCUGCUGUCUCCCACCCCCAGGACGUGGAGUCAGAGAACGUCAACGUGGUGAAGCGGCUCUUCAAGAUUCAGAACCUUAACGCCAGCACCAUCCGCACGGUGAUGGUGGCUGACUGCAGCCGCUUUGACAGCCCGGACCUCCUGCUGGAUGCCGGUGGGCCCCCCGGCCGCGUCUUCGACCUGGGCAGCGACAGUGAGGACGAGGCGGCAGGCCCGGGACCAGGGCCGGCUCCGGCCCGCACCAAGGAGGGCUUGCGGCGAUUCUUGGACGGGCUCCUGGACGGGCGGGCGCAGUCCCAGCUGUCAGAGCACGCGCUGGAGACCAGGGUGGCUGAGCUGCUGGCCCAGGGCCGCACCAAACCCCCAGAGCACAGCAUGGCCGACGCCCGCAAGCUCCUCAUCUUCACCACGGGCUGCCUCACUUACUCACCACACCAGAUCGGCAUCAAGCAGAUCCUGCCACACCAGAUGACCACAGCUGGGCCUGUGCUGGGCGAGGGGCGGGGCUCAGAUGCCUUCUUUGACGCCCUGGACCACGUCAUCGAUGUGCACGGACACAUAAUCGGCAUGGGCUUGUCCCCGGACAACAGGGUGCCCCUUGCCCAGGUACUUGUAUGUAAACAGCCGUGCCUGGCCCAGCGGCUCUGUGGUGGCUGACCCCAUGCAGCCACCGCCCAUCGCAGAGGAGAUCGACCUGCUGGUGUUCGACCUCAAGACCAUGCGGGAGGUGAAGCGGGCUCUGCGGGCCCACCGUGCCUACACGCCCAAUGACGAGUGCUUCUUCAUCUUCCUGGACGUCAGCAGGGACUUCGUGGCCAGUGGAGCAGAGGACCGGCACGGCUACAUCUGGGACCGGCACUAUAAUAUCUGCUUGGCCAAGCUGCGGCACCAGGACGUGGUCAACUCGGUGGUCUUUAGCCCCCAAGAGCAGGAGCUCCUGCUGACCGCCAGUGACGACGCCACCAUCAAAGCCUGGCGUUCCCCACGCACUGUGCGCAUCCACCAGGCCCCGCGCCCACGUCCCCAUCCCUUUCUCUCCUGGUUUGCCAGCCAGAGGCGCUGAGAGGGGCGCUGGCCGACAGGAGCGUCCUGGGUGUCCUGGGGCCGCUGGGACCCAUUGAAGAUGCCACAGAGGCCUGCAGCCCUUCCCCAGGGCCCAGCCGCUGCCCAGACCUCGUGGUAGGCAGAGACACUUGUGACAGUCAUGCCUUAGGAAGGGGGUCCAGCAGGACUGCAGGGAGGGGACGGCCUGCCCCCCACCACGCUCACACCACACACCACCUCCCACAGCUGUGACCUUCAGCAGCAGGGCAGCCCCCUGGCUGGCUUGGGAUGCACUGGACACUGGGGCCCCACUCCUCCCCCACCCUCUUCCCCCAGGGCCUGUGCCCUGGGACAGUCAGCAGCACACAUACCCUUUGGCCAGCCCUUCAGGCCCCGGGGGGCCCCUCCUCUGGGCACGUGUUUGCUCACCAGCAGGGCCGGCAGCGCAGGUCAGUCUGCCGUGGGCUCAGGCAGACUGCAUGUCACUGGUCACCUGUUUGGGGCCUGAAUAAACAGCUGGCAAUAGCA